CAAAGGGGGCGACUCCGGUCACGGAUGGGCAUGCGGCGCAUUAGGUAGUUGGUGGGGCAACGGCCCACCAAGCCGACGAUGCGUAGGGGUUCUGAGAGGAAGGUCCCCCACAUUGGAACUGAGACACGGUCCAAACUCCUACGGGAGGCAGCAGUGAGGAAUAUUGGUCAAUGGCCGGAAGGCUGAACCAGCCAAGUCGCGUGAGGGAAUAAGGCCCUACGGGUCGUAAACCUCUUUUGUCAGGGAGCAAGGCCGCCCACGUGUGGACGGAAGGAGAGUACCUGGAGAAAAAGCAUCGGCUAACUCCGUGCCAGCAGCCGCGGUAAUACGGAGGAUGCGAGCGUUAUCCGGAUUUAUUGGGUUUAAAGGGUGCGUAGGCGGCCUGCCAAGUCAGCGGUAAAAUUGCGGGGCUCAACCCCGUACAACCGUUGAAACUGCCGGGCUCGAGUGGGCGAGAAGUAUGCGGAAUGCGUGGUGUAGCGGUGAAAUGCAUAGAUAUCACGCAGAACCCCGAUUGCGAAGGCAGCAUACCGGCGCCCUACUGACGCUGAGGCACGAAAGUGCGGGGAUCAAACAGGAUUAGAUACCCUGGUAGUCCGCACAGUAAACGAUGAAUGCUAGCUGUCCGGGGGGAUUGACCCCUGG
rnacentral:rRNA from 1 species